rnacentral:rRNA from 1 species
UACGGGGGGGGCAAGCGUUGUUCGGAAUUACUGGGCGUAAAGGGCGCGUAGGCGGUCAGAUAAGUCAGCUGUGAAAACCUCGGGCUUAACCCGAGGCCUGCAGUUGAAACUGUUUGGCUGGAGUGUGGGAGAGGAGAGUGGAAUUCCCGGUGUAGCGGUGAAAUGCGUAGAUAUCGAGAGGAACACCUGCGGCGAAGGCGGGUUGCUGGGCCGACACUGACGCUGAUGCGCGAAAGCCAGGGGAGCGAACGGG